rnacentral:lncRNA from 1 species
GGAAAAUUAAUUUAAAGAUCACUGAACUAUUGGUGUUUUAUUGUCUGGGUCCCUGAAAUAAAGAUUCCAAUAUCCGGGUCACUUACGUUUUCAGUUUUCUUGCUUGGGUCCUUCCGUUAACUGAGAUUCUAACAGACGUUAGAAUCUCGAUGACGUGGUAGAAUUGUUGACACGUGUAUAUUAAUUUUAUUUUAAAGGUCCCUAAACUAUUAGUAAUUUUCUUAUGUGAGUCCUUCCAUUGAUUUAAACGAAACUAAGCACUUUUUUCCUUUAUCAUUCGAAAUUUAUUAUGUAUUAAGAUACUAACAUUUAAUCGGUUUAGAAGGUAUUCAAUUUUUAGUACAACUUAAGUUUUUUAAUUUGUAAUUAUUUUAAACGUCUAAUAGAUAAUAUUAUGUGUAACACCAAUUGGAAUUCUUGCAAAAUUAAUAUUGAUAGUUAUUUGACAAAUUAAUAUUGAAUUGUAACAUGGCUUUUAAGUUAAAUAAAUUCAAAAUUGAUUUGUUAUUAGAGUUUUUGACAAUGAUCCUGUUUGGGGAUUAGCUGUUAGCGGUUAACUAUUAGCGGAUUGAAUCAGAUGUUUUGACUAGCGGAUUGAAAUAGAUUUUUUGACUAGCGGAUUGAAUUAGCUGUUUCUCGUAAAACUGUUUGAUUAAUAGCGGAUUGAUUAGUUUUUUCUGACACAAACCAAAAUCUCUAACCCAAAAAACUCCUCAAAGUAGCUUUUUCAAAAUUAACUUUGUGGGUCCAAACCUCUAUUUAAAUUCGCUAACUACCAAACAUUUAUAUUAGCGGAUUUUAGUGGUCAAACCUCUAAAUCACCCUAAACCACUAAUUUUGGCCCAAAUCUCUAACUUCCAAAUAGGGCCAAUAUCUUGUGAGGCCUUUUUUUUAAUAGGACUAUAACCUUUGUGUUUGUUAUGACAAUGUUCUUGGUAAGUCUCUUUUACAUGUCAUUUAUUAUAUGAUAAAAAAAACUAAUAAACAAUAAAUUAAGAUACAUAGAAACACGAGUUAAAACCUAAUAUAACACAAUAAAAUAAAUAAUAUUAAUUGAUUAAUUAAUAAACAUUAAUUUAUUUAUUGUGUAAAAUAAACAUUAAUAUAUUUAUUGUGUUAUAUUAAUAAAUAUAUUAAUGUUUAUUUUACUGUGUUAUAUUAAUGUUUUUCUAUUAUCUAUUAGACCUUUAAAAUAAUUCCGAAUUAAAAAGUUUAAGUUGUACUAAAAAUUGAAUACCUUCUAAGUCUAUUAAAUUUUAGUAUCUUAAUACAUACUAAAUUUUAAAUUAAUGAAAGGACUCAGAUAAGAAAAUUAUUAAUAGUUCAGGGACUUCUAAAAUAAAAUUCAUAUACACGUGUCAACAAGUCUGCCACGUCAGCGAGAUUCUAACGUCCGUUAGAAUCUUAGUUAACGGAAUGACUCAAAUAAAAAAACUGAAAACAUAAGUGAUCCGAAUAUUGGAAUCUUUAUUUCAGGGACCUAAACAAUAAAUCACCAAUAGUUCAGGGACUUUUAAAUUAAU